UACGUAGGGUACAAGCAUUAAUCGGAUUUAUUGGGCGUAAAGGGCGCGUAGGCGGGAGUGCCAGUCAGAUGUGAAAUCCCGAGGCUCAACCUCGGAACAGCAUUUGAAACUACACUUCUAGAGGGUAGGCGGAGAAAACGGAAUUCCACAAGUAGCGGUGAAAUGCGUAGAUAUGUGGAAGAACACCGGUGGCGAAAGCGGUUUUCUAGCUUAUACCUGACGCUGAGGCGCGAAAAGCAAGGGGAGCAAACAGG
rnacentral:rRNA from 1 species